GUCAAAAGGCCCACAGAGAAAAAAAGCAGAGCAGCACAUGCACAGGCAGCACACGCUGCUCAAAGGAGGAGCCGGGUUACCUGGAACCACACUGCAGCUGCCAGCCAGGCUUCUUGCAGCAGAAUUGCCACUACUGCAGCCCUGGGAGGCCCCCAGGACCACAGGCACAAAAUCUGACCUAUCUGGGGAAAUGAAGGCUCAGAGGCAUGAGGUGACUCAGCCAAUUGCCCUGCAGGAGUCGGUGACAGAGGCAGAACUAGAGUUCAUGAGUUCCUGACUGCCACCACCACUUGAAACUGCUAGACCUUGCCCCUCCAGCAAUCCAAGUGAAACCUUUUAGGAGAAGCUGAGAUAUUUAACUCCCUCAUGUACCCCACCUCAGCUGAGAGCUACGUGAUUUCUCCUCACCUCUGUACAUGUGGCUAGAAUGGGAAGGUAAACUAACUAGAAAGCAAAAAGCCAUGAGAAGGCCUGGAAGCAUAACAAGAGAAGCCUGAUUCUGAAAACUGUACAGAAGAUGCAACAGAUGCAAUAACAUUCAGAGAUGUGCCAGCUUCUGAGGUACAGAUCCCAACCUGACCUUUGAAUCCUACUAUUAAGGGCAUGAUGCCCAACUUGACAAGACUGUCAAUGCACAGACUUCCAGUGCGUAGUACUUGUUUCAUUUCUAAAUAGAGCCAUAAGGAACUGGGAGUCCACAGGCAGAACAUUUAAAAAAUAAACCUAUAGAGAAAGUUUUUUACAAGAUGCUUCUACUGUACAAGAAUUCGGUUUUU